GACGAACGCUGGCGGCGUGCUUAACACAUGCAAGUCGAACGGAAAGGCUUCUUUCGGGGGGUACUCGAGUGGCGAACGGGUGAGUAACACGUGAGUAACCUGCCCUUGACUUUGGGAUAACUUCAGGAAACUGGGGCUAAUACCGGAUAGGAGCUCCUGCUGCAUGGUGGGGGUUGGAAAGUUUCGGCGGUUGGGGAUGGACUCGCGGCUUAUCAGCUUGUUGGUGGGGUAGUGGCUUACCAAGGCUUUGACGGGUAGCCGGCCUGAGAGGGUGACCGGCCACAUUGGGACUGAGAUACGGCCCAGACUCCGACGGGAGGCAGCAGUGGGGAAUAUUGCACAAUGGGUGGAAGCCUGAUGCAGCAACGCCGUGUGCGGGAUGACGGCCUUCGGGUUGUAAACCGCUUUCGCUCAUGACGAAGCUUUGUGUGACGGUAGUGGGUAAAGAAGCACCGGCUAACUACGUG
rnacentral:rRNA from 1 species